rnacentral:pre_miRNA from 15 species
AAAUUGGAAUCGGCAAUGGCCACGUGUAUGCUCGUAGCUAUAACUGGUACAAUCAAAUGUUAUUGCUUGAGAAUACACGUAGUUAGCCAGAUUCGCCCAAC